rnacentral:lncRNA from 1 species
GCAAGCCAAGAAGUUAAUAGCUUCUCUUCUUUUGGCAGAGAGAGAUAUCACCAGCAGAUGUCUGGAAAAUCCGAUUCUCCCAUCGAUGCUAAAUCAUGCCCUCUGUGCCAGGACUUCUUCAGGAUUAUUGGACCAUCGAAGUUUGAUAUCUCUACACCAAACUGCUUCACUUUAUAUGAAAGCCCUUGGAAAAAGCACAAAGGAAGCAUAUAAAAAGUACCAGGGAAGGGACCAAGUUCCUCCAACUGAAGAACCUGCAAGGCAGGAAGCCAACAGCUAGGAUUACCCUUCUGACCUAAUGGAAGGCAAAUGCCUGUUAAGGGAAGAUCAACUCUGAGAAAGAAAAGAACUUUCUGUUAAAUAAGUGAAAACAAAGUUGGAGGUGCUCUAACAGGAUUUCGAGGAGAGGAGUGGUGUGGGUCAUGUUCCCACUUGAAAAUGAAAGUGUUCUCCUGGCUGAGGUUGCCUGGCCAAAUCAGUGAUUUAGAAGCAUAAAAUGAGUCACUGAUACCCUGUGAAUGGACUUGAGAGCUGGAUGAGGGAGGUCUUAUUGGUCUUUAACACCUGCUAACUUUCCUUAAGGUUAAAAAAAAAAUUCUGUUCAGUGUUUUGCCACACAGAUCCUUUUGAAUCUCCAACACUUAGCACAGUGCCUGGCACAUAGUAGUGACUUGGUACAUAUUUAUUGGUUGAUUAAUUGAAAGGACUACUUGAUACCAUCUGAAGAACAUCUUUUGGGGAAGGAGAGUGAGGUGAGGAGUUGAAUCCAAGCCUUCCAGAACUGGACUCAUCAAAUCAGAGCCAGUUGUAGUUAAAACUCCCCUCCAUUCCUUUUUCAUUCUUCUCCUCCACAGUAGAACCAAGAUGGUGGUCUAGUAGCAGCAAAAACUGAAACCACUCUGAUAAACCUUCAAAAAAUCUCUUCUCUGUAGGCCUGGUCUCCUGUGCA